AUGAUUCUCCUUUCUGGCAUUCUGAUUUCUGCCUUAGCAUAUGCAACAUAUGCAGAUGAAAUUAAACCAGUCAAAACAGAGGAGUUUGCUGACGAGGGUUCAAAUGUUACUUUAUCCUGCAUUUAUUCAUCUGCAUAUUAUCUUUACUGGUACCGUCAGUAUCCUGGAUCAGCUCCUCAGCAUAUUGUGCUUAUUCCAGACAGUAAAAAAGAUGAUAUGAAGUCUGAUGUAGAUCCCAGAUUUACAGCCAGAGUCACUAAAGAUAAAGAAAAGCGUGUGGAUCUGCUGCUCUCGUCUGCUGCAGUAUCAGACUCUGCUGUGUAUUACUGCGCUCUGCAGCCCACAGUGACAGGAAACACAGCAGCACUAAACAAAAACCUGACACACAAGAUCAACUAUGUGUAG